AAGAGUUGCAAAACUCCCAAACCAUAUGUUUAUCUACCUGUUUCGUUGCUUCGGCAGGUUGCGCCCUUCGGGGCCGCCUGCCGGAGUAUCCAAAACUCUUGUUAAUUACUGUUCUGUCUGAGUAAACUUUUAAUAGUUA
rnacentral:misc_RNA from 1 species